GGCUACUGGACUCUAAUGUCGUCAAGGCUACUGGACUCUAAUGUCGUCAAGGCUACUGGACUCUAAUGUCGUCAAGGCUACUGGACUCUAAUGUCGUCAAGGCUACUGGACUCUAAUGUCGUCAAGGCUACUAGACUCUAAUGUCUUCAAAGCUUCCGGACUCUAAUGUCUUCAAAGCUUCCGGACUCUAAUCUCUUCAAGGCCACUGAACUCUUCAAGGCUACUGGACUUUAAUGUCUUCAAGGCUACUGGACUCUAAUGUCGUCAAGGCUACUGGACUGUAAUGUCGUCAAGGCUACUGGACUUUAAUGUCUUCAAGGCUUCUGGACUCUAAUGUCGUCAAGGCUACUAGACUCUAAUGUCUUCAAAGCUACUGGACUCUAAUGUCUUCAAGGCUACUGGACCCAAAUAUAUGUAGGCUACUGGACUGUAAUAUCUUGCAGGGCUACUGGACUAUAAUAUCUUGCAGGGCUACUGGACUCUAAUAUCAGUAUGCUACUGGACUGUAAUAUCUGUAGGCUACUGGACUGUAAUAUCUUGCAGGGCUACUGGACUAUAAUAUCUUGCAGGGCUACUGGACUGUAAUAUCUUGCAGGGCUACUGGACUGUAAUAUCUUGCAGGGCUACUGGACUCUAAUAUCUGUAGGAUACUGGACUCUAAUGUAUUCAAGGAUACUGGACUCUAAUAUCUGUAGGAUACUGGACUCUAAUAUCUGUAGGCUACUGGACUGUAAUAUCUUGCAGGGCUACUGGACUCUAAUAUCUUGCAGGGCUACUGGACUCUAAUAUCUGUAGGCUACUGGACUGUAAUAUCUUGCAGGGCUACUGGACUGUAAUAUCUGCAGGGCUACUGGACUGUAAUAUCUUGCAGGGAUACUGGACUCUAAUAUCUGUAGGCUACUGGACUGUAAUAUCUUGCAGGGCUACUGGACUCUAAUAUCUUGCAGGGCUACUGGACUGUAAUAUCUUGCAGGGCUACUGGACUGUAAUAUCUUGCAGGGCUACUGGACUCUAAUGUAUUCAAGGAUACUGGACUCUAAUGUAUUCAAGGCUACUGGACUAUAAUGUCUGUAAACUACUGGACUGGACAGGAAUAUGAUGACAAGAAAAUGGAAAUGAAGUAAUAAUUUAAAUGAAUGGUAUCGAGUUCAGUCUUAAAUCUCCAACACAACCUCUGAACUCGUGAUGUCGUUCCCUCACAGCUAGCUUUCGACGUUCUUGAGUCCCAUACAAGGUAGGUUAAUGAGGUUAAAGACGUGAAUGAUUGUUUAUUAGAGGGAUUUAUUCUGGUCACACACUGCUAUAGACCACCACUAUAGUGAAGGUUUGAUGUACAGAAAAUUGGUUUAUACUGCCAGGGACACACAGUGUACUUAUAACACACACACACACACACACAC
rnacentral:lncRNA from 1 species